CGUCAGCGACAGGACUCGAACCUGUGCGGGCGAACCCAAUAGAUUUCUAGUCUAUCGCCUUAACCACUCGGCCACACUGAC
rnacentral:tRNA from 1 species